rnacentral:rRNA from 1 species
UACAGAGGGUGCGAGCGUUAAUCGGAAUUACUGGGCGUAAAGCGCACGUAGGUGGUUUAGUAAGUCGGAUGUGAAAUCCCCGGGCUUAACCUGGGAACUGCAUUCGAAACUGCUUUACUAGAGUAUGGGAGAGGACAGUGGAAUUUCAGGUGUAGCGGUGAAAUGCGUAGAUAUCUGAAGGAACAUCAGUGGCGAAAGCGACUGUCUGGACCAAUACUGACGCUCAUGUGCGAAAGCGUGGGGAGCAAACAGG